AAUUAAAAGAACUGGACAAAAUUGGAAAUCUGUGUGAAGGUUUGGAGUUGAUCACAAAGUAUGUUUCCUCCUAUCCAUGAAUUGGCCAACAAAUUUAUGCGUGCAAUUGUUUAAUGAAAAAUUAUUGAUCUAUUCUUAUAAGCUGCUAAUGUGUGCACAACAAAUAAUUCAACUCCAUAACAUGUUGUACACCUCACGAGGCAGAUUUUCUUUAAGUGAUGAUAAUGGAAAUUGUGAAUGGCAGAU
rnacentral:misc_RNA from 1 species